CAGGGAAACUGCGUACGGCUCAUUACACCAGCCUUAAUUUACUUGACCUUGACAACCUACUUGGAUAACUGUGGUAAUUCUAGAGCUAAUACAUGCACCAAAGCUCCGAUCCUCGCGGAGAGGAGCGCAUUUGUUCGCCACAAAACCAAGCGCCCAUCUGGGCGUCCAGUGCUGAACCAGAACAACUCAGCUGAUCGCACGGUCUUGUACCGGCGACGUGUCUUUCAAGUGUCUGCCUUAUCAACUUUCGAUGGUAGUGUACCUGACUACCAUGGUUGUGACGGGUAACGGAGGAUAAGGGUUCGACUCCGGAGAAGGGGCCUGAGAAAUGGCCACUACGUCUAAGGAUGGCAGCAGGCGCGCAAAUUACCCACUCUCAACGCGAGGAGGUAGUGACGAGAAAUAACGAGACCGUUCUCAUACGAGGCCGGUUAUUGGAAUGGGUACAAUUUAAACCCUUUAACGAGUAUCUAUGAGAGGGCAAGUCUGGUGCCAGCAGCCGCGGUAAUUCCAGCUCUCAAA
rnacentral:rRNA from 1 species